CUUAUACUCCCUCCGUCCGGAAAUACUUGUCAUCAAAAUGAAUAAAAGGGGAUGUAUCUAGAUGUAUUUUUUGUUUUAGAUACAUCCCUUUUUGUCCAUUUUGAUGACAAGUAUUUUCGGACGGAGGGAGUACAUU
rnacentral:pre_miRNA from 1 species